rnacentral:rRNA from 3 species
AAUCCAUAGGUUAAUGAGGCGAACCGGGGGAACUGAAACAUCUAAGUACCCCGAGGAAAAGAAAUCAACCGAGAUUCCCCCAGUAGCGGCGAGCGAACGGGGAGGAGCCCAGAGCCUGAAUCAGCAUGUGUGUUAGUGGAAGCGUCUGGAAAGGCGCGCGAUACAGGGUGACAGCCCCGUACACAAAAGCGCAUGUGCUGUGAGCUCGAUGAGUAGGGCGGGACACGUGGUAUCCUGUCUGAAUAUGGGGGGACCAUCCUCCAAGGCUAAAUACUCCUGACUGACCGAUAGUGAACCAGUACCGUGAGGGAAAGGCGAAAAGAACCCCGGCGAGGGGAGUGAAAAAGAACCUGAAACCGUGUACGUACAAGCAGUGGGAGCCCCACCA